ensembl:lncRNA
CUUAAGAUUGACAUUUCAGCUUGUUUUGCAUUUCCUUGGCUAGACAAGCUCUUACAUGAUUGUUUUGGUGUGCUGGAAUCAAAGCACUGAUCUUGUUAGGUUUUGUGAACUGUCAAGUGCAUGAAAUUGUUGUUGUUCUUAUCCAGUGUUUUUGAGAUACAGUCAAAUCAGCUUUAAUCCACACUAGCACUAUUUCAAGUUUUCAGUUCACAUCUUAAUUGCAGUUAGGUAGGGUGGCAAAAUGUGAUGUGUGACUGAAGCUGCCGGAUUGAAAGAGGAAAAUGAACCUGUUUUUGAAGGAUUAAAAACUGAUUUUCCUCACAGCUACUGAUUUCUAGCUGACUCUUUGUACUUGAUGGGAUAUAAAGAAAACCCACAAGUAAAACUGCUUCUUGAUGAAAUGCUGAAAACAAAUCCAAAAAAAUUCUGGACGUUAUUUGGAAUAAAUGGAACAAUCUGUUGAUUCCUUGAGUUGAAGCUCUCCCUGGAAAUGAAAUAGGGUUGAAAUUUCUGACUGCAUUAAAUCACUGAGGCUCAAGUCACAGUACAUUUCAGUAGAAGCCAAUGCCGGGAUUUUACUGAAGCUGGUAAGGAGAAGAGGUCUCAUAAGAUUUACGUAACUCAUGCAGUGGGACAUGGAGCUGCUGCUGUGAAAUUCAAAGAACUUGAAGGUAUCAAAACAGACAGAUGGCUACCAGUGGGUUUAGUAUUUGAUAUCAAGCACAGUUCUGAUGAAUUCUGAUGAGUGACUUGGGAAGUGCCAGAUGAUGGAAGAUGAAUAUCAGAUAGCCUGAAUAAAAGAACACAAGAACUUCAUUAUGCUGUUUUCUGAAAUACAGGAAGCAAGAGGUUAAAGGAGGAUGGAGAAACAAAUAGGAAGAAUGCUCAGCGUUUACUACUUAUGAAGCAGUAUCAUGUUGUGGUAAUUCAGGCAUUUGUCUAAUAAGUCUCUAGAAAUAACCUCCGAACAAUUCAGAUAGCAGCAGGACAGACAGAAAUCUCAAAGAGAUCUUUCCUUGCAAAUGUCUCUGCAUGGCUUACAGGACAGAAUAUGAGAAUAAUCCAGCACAAGACAGUGGGGACUGAAGAGGAAACCCGAAUCUAUUUACCAUUAAGAAGCCCUGUACUGAACUGACAGGAACAGAAUGUAACACUGCUCCAAAGUCUUGGCAUGCCAGUGUUGCCUUUGUGUAUUUGAAGUAUUUCCACUGGUCUUCGGAGUCCUGUCAUCCACCAAUGAUUCUGACAUAUCCAUGAUGACAAUCUGCUCACAGAAUACUGAAAGAAGCUCUUUAACAAGGAAAUCCUUGCUGGCAUCGCCUACCCAAAAUGUCAUGAAAGGAGCCCAUACUUGACAGCUCCUGGCUUCCAUUAAGAACUGCAAGGUGCACGUUCCUUGUGAGAUAUUGAAACAACUGAGGUGGUGUUCUGUAGAAUACAUGUAUGGCCACAGAGCCUUCUG